GACGAACGCUGGCGGCGUGCUUAACACAUGCAAGUCGAACGGUAAGGCUCCAGCUUGCUGGGGUACACGAGUGGCGAACGGGUGAGUAACACGUGGGUGACCUGCCCUGCACUUCGGGAUAAGCCUGGGAAACUGGGUCUAAUACCGGAUAGGACCGCACCGUGAGGGUGUGGUGGAAAGUUUUUUCGGUGUGGGAUGGGCCCGCGGCCUAUCAGCUUGUUGGUGGGGUAAUGGCCUACCAAGGCGGCGACGGGUAGCCGGCCUGAGAGGGUGGACGGCCACAUUGGGACUGAGACACGGCCCAGACUCCUACGGGAGGCAGCAGUGGGGAAUAUUGCACAAUGGGCGGAAGCCUGAUGCAGCGACGCCGCGUGCGGGAAGAAGGCCUUCGGGUUGUAAACCGCUUUUGUUCGGGAAGAAAUCCUCUGGGCUAAUACCCCGGGGGGAUGACGGUACCGGAAGAAUAAGCACCGGCUAACUACGUG
rnacentral:rRNA from 1 species